AUUUUCCCGCGCCACUUCCACAGUUGCACUUAUGGCGGUAAACCGAGGACGUGUUUUCUGAUUGUUUGUUUUUUGGGUUCUUUGUCUGCUGUUAGGUCAGGGCUUUUGCAAUGGUUAGCGGUGUGAAGGACAUGUCAGCUGUCUAGGUCGUUGGGGGAACUGCCACUGGUAUGUGGUGAGGAGGUCCGCAUGGUUGUGGAUGAGACCCAGUCACUAGACGAGGCCUUUUCUGCUGACCAGGUGUCAAAUGGGGUUCCCUUGGUGCCAGCCUAUAGGACAUACCUUGGGGAUGGGAAGAUCUUCAGUUUCCAGAGUUGGCUCUGACUGAGGCAGGACCAGUGGAGGUUCUACUACCAGAUAUAGUUCUUUCCAAGGUUGCAUGUUGACUGCAACAGACUACUAACACAGGUGUUGGAUGCCACAGCUGACACUGCUCUAAAGAGUGAUCUGCAGUUGGGAGAGCUGAUCGUUUGUUUUCAGUUUUGUACAUAUUUUAAUGUUAUGACAUGUUUUAAAAUCUGAAUAAAAUGAAUAAAUACCAUUUUUUAUAUACGUUAUGAUUUAAUUGCGUGCGUAGGCGGCAUUGUGGGAAUGAGGGCGGGACGCG